GGGAAUGUAGCUCAGUGGUAGAGUGCUUGCCUAGCAUACAUGAAGCCCUGGGUUCAAUUCCUCAGUACCA
rnacentral:tRNA from 1 species